CUCAAAUGAUGAACCUAUAUCUUCAUGGUCCGUGUUUUUGAAAUAAUCUUGAUAAUAUUGAAGAUCUGAUGAG